ACUCAAAGGAAUAGACGGGGGCCCGCACAAGCGGUGGAGCAUGUGGCUUAAUUCGAGGCAACGCGAAGAACCUUACCCGGGUUUGACAUCCAUGGGACCGGAGGCGAAAGUUUCCUUUCCGCAAGGACCGAUGGACAGGUGCUGCAUGGCUGUCGUCAGCUCGUGUCGUGAGAUGUUCGGUUAAGUCCGGCAACGAGCGCAACCCGUGCCGUCUGUUGCGACCAGGUGAAGCUGAGCACUCUGACGGGACUGCCCGUGUCAAGCGGGAGGAAGGUGCGGAUGACGUCAAGUCAGUAUGGCCCUUACGUCCGGGGCUGCACACGUGCUACAAUGGAUGGUACAGUGGGAUGCGAGGCCGCAAGGCGGAGCCAAUCCCCGAAAACCGUCCCCAGUUCAGAUCGAAGUCUGCAACUCGACUUCGUGAAGCCGGAAUCGCUAGUAAAGGCGUAUCAGCAACGACGCCUUGAAUACGUUCCCGGGCCUUGUACACACCGCCCGU
rnacentral:rRNA from 1 species